ACUUCCACUAUUGCUAAUCACUCUCUCUCUACCCUCUCUCUCUACCCUCUCCACCGAUCGCCGAUCAAAGUGCGAAGCUCCAUUGAAGAUUCUCAGUACAUGAUCAAGACGAAGGCAUUAAGAGAAGGUAGAAAGGCUCACAUCUAUACCUCCUUUCUCUCUCUCUCGUUGAUCUGAAGGCUUUCGAUUUGGUUGCUGCUCUGUUUUAUGCCCAAAUGAUUAAAUCCCUGUAUUUUUCAUUUUGUAUACAUUAUGUGAAAUUCAUUUUUUGUAUACAUUAUAUGAAAUUCAACAGCACUUGUCGUAA